AGGGGCAACAGCCCUAGUGGCAGGGCCAGCUCUGGAGCCCUGGAGUCAGCCCCCGCAGUAGCUCCAGAGCUCUCGGUCUGCAGGGCCUGGAGGCUCCGGGGCGGG
rnacentral:pre_miRNA from 1 species